GCUCUUCAACGAGGAAUCCCUAGUAAGCGUGAGUCAUCAGCUCGCGUUGAUUACGUCCCUGCCCUUUGUACACACCGCCCGUCGCUACUACCGAUUGAAUGGCUUAGUGAGACCCUCGGAUUGGUAUUCGUUGGCUGGAAACAGCUCUACGUUCUCUGAAAAGUUGGUCAAACUUGGUCAUUUAGAGGAAGUAAAAGUCGUAACAAGGUUUCCGUAGGUGAACCUGCGGAAGGAUCAUUAACGAACAGGAGAUUCUUUUUGAAUCUUUUGAGAUCAACCAAAACCUGUGUAAUAUAAUAAAUGUAUAUUUUAAUUAAUAUACUAUCAAACUAUAAUAAAAAUACAAAACUUUCAACAACGGACCUCUUGGCUCUUGCAUCGAUGAAGAGCGCAGCGAAUUGCGACAAGUAGUGUGAAUUGCAGAAUUCCGUGAAUCAUCGAAUCUUUGAACGCAUAUUGCACUCUUUGGUAUUCCGAAGAGUAUGCCUGUUUGAGGGUCAUUUGAAAAUUAAUCUAGAUAAUUUAUUGUCUGGGAAUUAAUGAAUUUUCCGUCAUCUUUUUGUUGAUGGUAAUUUGAAAUUAAUGCUAGGUCUUUGCUUGUAAAAGACGCGUUUAUGUACAUUGUAUAAUCUUCGCAACUAAUCAAGCUGUCUCUGCUAGUUUAAUUAUCCCUUUUGAAAGAAUAAAAAAGGAUAUUAAACAAUACUUUCUUAAAUAAUCGUGACCUCAAAUCAGGUAAGAAUACCCGCUGAACUUAAGCAUAUCAAUAAGCGGAGGAAAAGAAACUAACCAGGAUUCCCCUAGUAACGGCGAGUGAAGCGGGAAUAGCCCAAAUUUUAAAUCAAUCUUUAUGAUUGAGUUGUAAUUUGAAGAAUUGCUUUCCAUAUCUUGAUCCGAUGAAAAGUCUCUUGGAAUAGAGCAUCAUAGAGGGUGAUAAUCCCGUAUUCUGUCGUGAUCUUGAUAUCGUGUGUAGUAAUUUCAAAGAGUCGAGUUGUUUGGGAUUGCAGCUCAAAACGGGUGGUAAAUUCCAUCUAAGGCUAAAUAACGGCAAGAGACCGAUAGCGAACAAGUACCGUGAGGGAAAGAUGAAAAGAACUUUGAAAAGAGAGUUAAACAGUACGUGAAAUUGUUGAAAGGGAAACGAUUGAGGCCAGUCAUGCCUGCGAGAAAUCAAUCAUUUAAUCAGAUUUUCGAAUUUGAUUUUGUGGUGCACUUUUUCGCGUGGCAGGUUAGCAUCAACUUUGAUUGUUGUAAAAUGGUGGUCGGAAUGUGACUCUGUUUUUUCAGAGUGUUAUAGCCGGUUACAGAUGCAAUGAUUGUGGUUGAGGUUUGCGGCAAAUGCCUUUGGGCUACUUACCUUCCUUCUGUUUUGUUCACUUUGGAAUGACAGCUUGCUGACAUUGUUAAAGGGCGGACAAUCAAUAGGGUAGAGUUGGGAUAAAUUUGCCAAGGAUGCUGACGUAAUGACCUUAAACGACCCGUCUUGAAACACGGACCAAGGAGUCUAACAUGUAUGCGAGUGUUU
rnacentral:ncRNA from 1 species